GAUGAACGCUGGCGGCGUGCCUAAUACAUGCAAGUCGAGCGAACGGACGAGAAGCUUGCUUCUCUGAUGUUAGCGGCGGACGGGUGAGUAACACGUGGAUAACCUACCUAUAAGACUGGGAUAACUUCGGGAAACCGCAGCUAAUACCGGAUAAUAUUUUGAACCGCAUGGUUCAAAAGUAAAAGACGGUCUUGCUGUCACUUAUAGAUGGAUCCGCGCUGCAUUAGCUAGUUGGUAAGGUAACGGCUUACCAAGGCAACGAUGCAUAGCCGACCUGAGAGGGUGAUCGGCCACACUGGAACUGAGACACGGUCCAGACUCCUACGGGAGGCAGCAGUAGGGAAUCUUCCGCAAUGGGCGAAAGCCUGACGGAGCAACGCCGCGUGAGUGAUGAAGGUCUUCGGAUCGUAAAACUCUGUUAUUAGGGAAGAACAUAUGUGUAAGUAACUGUGCACAUCUUGACGGUACCUAAUCAGAAAGCCACGGCUAACUACGUG
rnacentral:rRNA from 1 species